ACAGACAGUCAGAGAAAUAGGCAGAUAAACAGACAGACAGUCAGAGAAACAGGCAGAUAAACAGACAGGCAGGCAGAGAAACAGACAGGCAGCCAGAUAGACAUAGGCAUAAAGCUUACAUUCUAGAGUAUUUGUGGAAGGGUUGGACUACAGCUCCCAGGGUGCAUCUGUGCACAAUCCCUUAAUAGGGUUAAGCUGCCUGCCAGGGGCUCAGAGCUGGACAGAGAGACAGAGAGACACGGAGGAGACACAACAUGCCACUGAAAAGAGAGGACACAGAGAGAGCGUUGCAGGUGAUGGAGGCAUGUCAGACAGGGGGAGACCACACCUUCAAGCUGCGGGCGGAGAGACUACUGCACAUCUUCCAGAGUGACCUGUUCCAGGCCCUGCUGGACAUCCAGGAGUUCUAUGAGCUGACAGUGUUUGAGAACCAGGACACAGGACUGGUAAGAUACACACACACACACACACACACACACACACACACACACACACGCAGCACUUACAGUCUCUAAGUUACAUGUUCGGAUCCACAUGGCAACACCAUCCACUGUCUCCUAGCAACAGCUGCCUUAUUGCUAGAAUAACAGCUGCAUAUCGCCAUAGCAACAGCUGCACAUCACCAUGGUAACAGUACAGAACCCAACCCCCCACUGCUCUCUCUACCUUUUUUUCCUCUCUCUCUCAUUCUCUCCAUCCUCAUCCCCUUUUAUCUCUGAGGUUUAUCAAUCUUUUGCUUGUUGUCAUGGUAAUCAAGUAGUUAGUCCAGAGCUCCAUCCUUUCCUUCCUCCCCCCUUCCCCCUCUAUUCUC